ACGAACGCUGGCGGCGUGCCUAAUACAUGCAAGUUGAGCGCUGAAGGUUGGUACUUGUACCAACUGGAUGAGCAGCGAACGGGUGAGUAACGCGUGGGGAAUCUGCCUUUGAGCGGGGGACAACAUUUGGAAACGAAUGCUAAUACCGCAUAAAAACUUUAAACACAAGUUUUAAGUUUGAAAGAUGCAAUUGCAUCACUCAAAGAUGAUCCCGCGUUGUAUUAGCUAGUUGGUGAGGUAAAGGCUCACCAAGGCGAUGAUACAUAGCCGACCUGAGAGGGUGGUCGGCCACAUUGGGACGGAGACACGGCCCAAACUCCUACGGGAGGCAGCAGUAGGGAAUCUUCGGCAAUGGACGAAAGUCUGACCGAGCAACGCCGCGUGAGUGAAGAAGGUUUUCGGAUCGUAAAACUCUGUUGGUAGAGAAGAACGUUGGUGAGAGUGGAAAGCUCAUCAAGUGACGGUAACUACCCAGAAAGGGACGGCUAACUACGUG
rnacentral:rRNA from 1 species